AAUUUUGGAGCAUCUUGGAUUAGGGAUAUUCAUCCUAUGGUGGUGGUGGUAGUAGUAGUAGUAGUAUUGCUGUUUGGAAAUGGGAGGUGGUGGUUUUGCAGAUUGCCCUUCAGCCUUUCGUAAGGAGGAGUUUCCUUUUUUUUUGAGACGGAGUUUCACUCUUGUUGCCCAGGCUGGAGUGCAAUGGUGCGAUCUCGGCUUACUGCAACCUCUGCCUCCCAGGUUCAAGCAAUUUUCCUGCCUCAGCCUCCUCAGCCCGGCGGGAGGAGUUUGUUAAACUUUCUGAACCCCCCAGUGAAGGAAUUAGUAGCCUCUAAAGAAAUAUGCAACAGGGUAAACCAUAGUCAGUGUUAGACCCAGUCAUUGAGAAACCAGAAAUUACUAGGAGAAAAGAUAACACUCUCCUCUGCAGAGAGAAGGCAAACAUUUGUUGAAUUUACAUUACAUUUCAAGCCCUGUGCUAAACUCCCUAAGCUGCUUGAUUUGCAUUACAGGGUGGGAGGUGUGGUUCAGGUCAGUUGCUUGGGCUGGUGCUAACUCUCAAAGGAGAGGUACAGGUUUAAACCUUUAGAUGUCCCUGUAGUCCCCAGGAAAAGAGAUUAAGGACAAACUCUUGGUUUGUUUUGUUUGUUUUGUUCUUUGAGACGGAGUUUUGCUCUUGUUGCCCAAGCCGGAGUGCAAUGGCACAAUCAAGGCUUACCAUAACCUCUGCCUCCCAGGUUCAAGCGACUCUUCUGCCUCAGCCUCCCAAGUAGCUGGGAUUACAGGCAUGCGCCACCACACCCAGCUAAUUUUUGUAUUUUUAGUAGAGAUGGGAUUUCUCCAUGUUGGUCAGGCUGUUCUCAAACUCCCAACCUCAGAUGGUCUGCCCACCUCAGCCUCCCAAAGUGCUGAGAUUACAGGUGUGAGCCACCGCGCCUGGCCAAACUGGUUUUUAAAGAUUGUGCUUAGUUUAGUAAGUACAGGAAGCAAAGGCAUCUGGACAAUUGGACAGUCCUCAACCAAUCCAGAGAAAUUUGUUCUUGCAAGGUAUGUGAGUAGGUUUUAAACUCAGAACAUCAGUUUCCUGUAGAACCAGUGCAUAGAGGCAUAUUUCUGUCAGAACUGCACUCUGACUCCAGAAUGUGUGGAUGCGUGUGCUAUUGAGGGAACAAGACCACCCUGUAACAUCAGGCCUGUGGGAGCAUGUGGAGUCUGUGCAGUGUUGGAAACAAAUGCCCUGUAGUGCCUGUGAGAGGCAGCCACUGCCGUGUGAUCAUUGUGCCUCCUGCUAGAGUACUGAGGGCUGGAGAUCCUCUGGUAUCAGUAGGUUAUUGAGUGGGGUACAUGGGGGAUGGGUGCUAACUCAGGUUUCCUCAGAAGGAAGGUCGUAACGCCACAUGUGUAAGUUCUCAUUGAAUUCAGAAGUAGGGAACUAGCUGCGGUGAGAUUGGACAGAGCAGACAAUUUCAAACAGAAUUGAUGCUACCAGAUAAUUCCUGGGAUUUGAUGGCAGUCCUUAAUUGUUAUCAAAUCUGGAAUUCUGGUUUCAUGCUUCUGUGGAAUUUAAAAAGAUUUCAUGUGAAAAUGUAAGUCAUUGCUUUUAGAUCAGAUAUGUGUCUCUCCUAAACCCCUUCCUUCCAGGAGAGUCUUUCUUUAAAGAGAUGGGGUCUCACUAUGUUGCCCAAGCUGGUCUUGAACUCCUGGGCUCAAGCCAUCCUCCUACCUCAGCCUCCCGAAGUGCUGGAAUUACAGGUCUGACCCACCACGCCCAGCUCUUAUUUUAAAAGAGCCUUAAAAUAAGAUGGUUUUAUUAAGAUUCUUAAUAAAAACAUAGUUUCAUUUGCUUAAAAGGCACCCAGAGUCUUGCUUUGGAGGAAGUUAAUCCUGAGAGAAUGAGCCUACAGAACAGUAAUACUCUCUUUUAAAUCACAGGUAAAAGAAGAUACAACAUUAAACUAUGGAAAACUUUCACAGACUGUUUUAACUGUUUACCGAUAGCAGCCAUCGUGGAUGAGAAGAUAUUCUGCUGUCAUGGAGGUUUAUCACCAGAUCUUCAAUCUAUGGAGCAGAUUCGGCGAAUUAUGCGACCAACUGAUGUACCAGAUCAAGGUCUUCUUUGUGAUCUUUUGUGGUCUGACCCCGAUAAAGAUGUCUUAGGCUGGGGUGAAAAUGACAGAGGAGUGUCCUUCACAUUUGGUGCAGAAGUGGUUGCAAAAUUUCUCCAUAAGCAUGAUUUGGAUCUUAUAUGUAGAGCCCAUCAGGUGGUUGAAGAUGGAUAUGAAUUUUUUGCAAAGAGGCAGUUGGUCACUCUGUUUUCUGCGCCCAAUUAUUGUGGAGAGUUUGACAAUGCAGGUGCCAUGAUGAGUGUGGAUGAAACACUAAUGUGUUCUUUUCAGAUUUUAAAGCCUGCAGAGAAAAAGAAGCCAAAUGCCACGAGACCUGUAACGCCUCCAAGGGGUAUGAUCACAAAGCAAGCAAAGAAAUAGAUGUCAUUUUGACACUGCCUAGUCGGGACUUGUAACAUAGAGUAUAUAACCUUCAUUUUUAAGACUGUAAUGUGUACUGGUCAGCUUGCUCAGAUAGAUCUGUGUUUGUGGGGGCCUUUCCUUCCAUUUUUGAUUUAGUGAAUGGCAUUUGCUGGUUAUAACAGCAAAUGAAAAACUCUUCACUCCAAAAAGAAAAGUGUUUUGUUUUUUAAUUCUGUUCCUUUUGCAAACAAUUUUAAUGAUGAUGUUAAAGCUGUACACCCCAGGACAGUUUAUCCUGUCUAAGGAGUAAGUGUACAAUUGAUCUUUUUUAAGUCAGUACAACC
rnacentral:sRNA from 1 species